GAAGAGUCGUUGUCUCCUUAGUGCAUUAUAAAUUAUGAAAAGUAUUUUAGUGUUUUUCAUCUUAUUGUUUGUGAUAGGUAAUUGUGAACAUUUAAUAGUUGGAGACACAAAUAGUAACAGACGGUUAAUUUAUCACACGACGGCGACGUAUCCUUCAAUGCCUUCAUUCAAGAGAGUGAAAAAUGUGUUUUACAGUGGACAUUCAGUUAUUAAUAGUGUUAUGGCGUAUGACAACCGACAUACAAACGCCACAGUCUCGGUCACCGCUGGAGGUAUCGGAUUUACUUUCAUCAAUUUAAGUUUAAAAAGCGAAAAAGGUGGAGAAUUAGAUUACGACAUCUACAUUUAUGAAUAAGCUAGUUGUUAACCGUAAUUAGUCAUUUGUUUAUGUAAAUAAAGUUGUUAAGUGAUAA